rnacentral:snRNA from 1 species
GAAUAUGAGGGCUAUCUGGCUAUGACAUCUGUCACCCCAUUGAUUCCACUGGUCUGGGUGAUCCUUCACUACUCUCUGUGCAUCCUUCCUGAAGCUACAUGUACUCCUUUUAAGAGGAUGACCUUCCCCAAAUAGAGGAAGACCUGUCUUCCAUCAAGGUUAUACAGUCAAGGGUAUAUGAGCGCCUGUGCUGUCCUGCUAGAACACCCAAACAAAAGUGCCUGACAAGUAGCCUGCUAGAAAGAACAAGGGGGUAAAGGAAGGUUCAAAGGGCUAAGUGUGUGGCUAUGUGCUCAUU